GACGAACGCUGGCGGCGUGCUUAACACAUGCAAGUCGAACGGUAAGGCCCCUUCGGGGUUACACGAGUGGCGAACGGUUGAGUAACACGUGAGCAACCUGCCCUUGACUUUGGGAUACCAGCUGGAAACAGCUGCUAAUACCGGAUAUGACCUCUUCUCUCAUGGGGUGAGGUGGAAAGCUCCGGCGGUCAGGGAUGGGCUCGCGGCCUAUCAGCUUGUUGGUGAGGUAAUGGCUCACCAAGGCUUCGACGGGUAGCCGGCCUGAGAGGGCGACCGGCCACACUGGGACUGAGAUACGGCCCAGACUCCUACGGGAGGCAGCAGUGGGGAAUAUUGCACAAUGGGCGCAAGCCUGAUGCAGCAACGCCGCGUGCGGGAUGACGGCCUUCGGGUUGUAAACCGCUUUCAGUAGGGACGAAGCUAACGUGACGGUACCUACAGAAGAAGGACCGGCUAACUACGUG
rnacentral:rRNA from 1 species